CGGGGUUUGAUUCAAUGAUUCGUCCUAACCGCCUACUCGGUCUACUACUAAACGCAUUCAAUUUGCGCGGUAGGCUUGUGGGCGGAAUCAAUCACUGAUUCAGACUCGCAAAACUUAAAAAACCCGCGCCGAUGCGCGGGUUUUUUU
rfam:Erwinia iniecta strain B120 contig000020, whole genome shotgun sequence.